rnacentral:rRNA from 1 species
CUUUAGACGGUAGGGUAUUGGCCUACCGUGGCUAUGACGGGUAACGGGGAAUUAGGGUUCGAUUCCGGAGAGGGAGCCUGAGAAACGGCUACCACAUCUAAGGAAGGCAGCAGGCGCGCAAAUUACCCAAUCCUAAUACAGGGAGGUAGUGACAAGAAAUAACAAUACAGAACCUCACGGUUUUGUAAUUGGAAUGAGUUAAGUAUAAACCCCUUAACGAGUAUCAAUUGGAGGGCAAGUCUGGUGCCAGCAGCCGCGGUAAUUCCAGCUCCAAUAGCGUAUAUUAAAGUUGUUGCAGUUAAAAAGCUCGUAGUUGAUUUUCUGUUAAUUUUUAUGUAUAAUAUUGCGAUAUUUACAUAAUAUUAACAUAAUUCACAUUACUUUACAGUAUGUGGAAYUUUACUUUGAGAAAAUUAGAGUGCUUAAAGCAGGCUAUUGCCUUGAAUACUCCAGCAUGGAAUAAUAUUAAGGAUUUUUAUUCUUCUUAUUGGUUCUAGAAUAAAAAUAAUGAU